rnacentral:tRNA from 1 species
UAUAGCUCAGUGGUAGAGCACAUGCCUACUAUGCAUGAGGUCCUGAAUUCAAUCCCCAGUA